rnacentral:misc_RNA from 1 species
AGCAGCCGCGGUAAUUCCAGCUCCAAUAGCGUAUAUUAAAGUUGUUGCAGUUAAAAGGCUCGUAGUUGAAUUUCGGGAUCAGUUGGUCGGUCGUGCCUCGGUACGUACUGGUCAAAUUGAUUCCCACCUUCUGACGAACCACGAUGUCAUUAAUUUGGUGUCGCGGGAAAUCAGGACUGUUACUUUGAAAAAUUAGAGUGUUUAAAGCAGGCUCGCGCUUGAAUACAUUAGCAUGGAAUAAUGAAAUAGGACGUUUGAUUCUAUUUUGUUGGUUUCUAGGAUCGACGUAAUGAUUAAUAGGGAUAGUUGGGGGCAUUAGUAUUCAAUUGUCAGAGGUGAAAUUCUUGGAUUUAUUGAAGACUAACUACUGCGAAAGCAUUUGCCAAGGAUGUUUUCAUUAAUCAAGAACGAAAGUUAGGGAUCGAAGACGAUCAGAUACCGUCGUAGUCUUAACCAUAAACUAUGCCGACUAGGGAUCGGAUGAUGUUAAUUUUUAAUGUACUCAUUCGGCGCCUUAACC